UUCCGUUUCCUUGUUUUCAAGGGGAAGGGACGGAGUAAGGGGAGCCCUGCUGGUCCUUGGUGACCUCAGGAACCGGUUGUAUUCAGUGCUCACUGCUGACAGCCUGGGCUAACAAUGUGGACGUGGCUCAGGCUGUCUUUUCCCAUAGUGAUAAUCAGUGUCUCAGCACUCUGAUAUCCCAUCUGUGGCACGAUCUGGAACCUCUCUGCAAACCUUGGCUGCCCGUUCCCACCACCGUUUCUCCCUUUCUCUCUUCAGAAGUGGCGCGGUGCGGUUCCCCGCGGUUGGGAGCAGCAGCCAGCAGGCUGCCAGAGAUCCAACCGCGCCUUGCAGCGCACAGAGGGACGCAACAGGGACGGACGGUCCUUCCUGCCAUACAGAAGGAUGGAGCCUGCGCGUCCAUGGAGUGGAGCUGGGCAAGGGUGGAAAGGGAAAGCCUCCGCAGGUAAGAAGCUCAUGUGAGCUGUGCUAUGGGUAUGCGCCUCUAAAUAGGGCUGCAUGAAGGGCAGUGUGUGCGAUGGAGGGGAGAGGAAAGGGCACUGCACAUCCAUGCUGGGAACCCAACGUUCACCCAAGAUCCUAAGAUCCCUUACCAGAGAGGUGCCGAGCCCAACGGAAAGAUCUACACAAAAGCGGUGCAGGAAGUCCUUCUGGAGAGAGCUCAUCUCCAGGCUGGAGGGCUUCCUACAACAGCAGGUCCCAGCACAGGGGGAAGACCUUCCCCUGCUGUGUGCUCCCGCUCUGUCUCCAAGUCCUUGGCUGGAUGUAAACGCAAGGGCUUGGAAGAAGCGAAGCCAACAGCAAUGCAGCUGCCUGCUAACAAAAGAGUGAGGGGGCCGAGCGGAGACAGCGUGCCAGCUCCAGCAGCACACCCUGGGCCUGCUGCAGCGCGGAGCUCCAAGCUAAGAGGUGAGAAGGUGCUGUGGGACCCACCCUGGUGAGCUGCUGCCCUUUUCAAGCACACUGAGUUUGCUCAGGGUUCGCUUUGCUUUUUCCUUCUCUGUGGAGGGGACAAGAGUGGAAGGCUACAAAGACCAAAGGCAGUGAGGUGCCAGAACACGUAACCCCGUCUCCUUCCAUUAACUCCAUGGUGGACUUCUGCACAUCCCCCUGGAAAUGUCAUUCACUGGGAGGCUUCCUAGUCCCGUUUCCUCUGUCUUUUUGCUGCCUUCUGCCUGUACGGCACCCCUGUUUCUGCAGUUGUGCUGCUGACAAAACGCAUUCAUGUUUAUUCUUGCUUUCUAGCGAGAAGACGCCAAGAGAAAGAGAGGAGAGGGGAAUCGAUGAAGGCUGCCCUCAGAGCUGCCGCUGCACGUGCAGAGGCCUCCGCAGUGAACAGCCUUGUGGAGAUGAUGCAGAAGCUGCAGCUGAAGGACUGAGAGGAGGAGCGUCAGCAGGCAGCGGCUGCAGUGCGCGGCGUUACAGGGCAGCGCUGCGAGUGCCGCCCAACUCGGCACUCCAACUUCAGAUGGAGUCAAUAAAAACCAGUCACAAUGAGAGAUUCACACAGAGCGCACGGCCUCAUUUGUCCAGCGGCACUCGGAGAGCUGCUGCACCACAUCCUUGUUAUUGGUCUCGCGGCGCUCAGUCAGAACUCCCACAGCUCCGUCAGCGAAUGCUGCCGUCCAGUGAUGCAGCGGAGGCAGCAGUCCUUUGCACUGCCCACAAACAGACAGUCUGCAAAGCACGUGCAGAGAGCUGCGAGGAACAAAGCCUGGCCACGAGCGUGCUAACUUGGAAAGCAACGCUGUGCAGACAGCUGAGUUUCCUAGGGCAGCACUGAGUGUUUUGGGCUUUGAUGACGAGCGUAUAAUGAGCAAAGUUCACCAAAAGGAUGGCGUUUU